rnacentral:rRNA from 1 species
UACGAAGGGAGCUAGCGUUGUUCGGAAUCACUGGGCGUAAAGCGCACGUAGGCGGAUGUGUCAGUCAGGGGUGAAAUCCCGGAGCUCAACUUCGGAACUGCCUUUGAUACAGCACAUCUGGAGUCCGGAAGAGGUGGGUGGAAUUCCCAGUGUAGAGGUGAAAUUCGUAGAUAUUAGGAAGAACACCGGUGGCGAAGGCGGCCCACUGGUCCGGUACUGACGCUGAGACGCGAAAGCGUGGGGAGCGAACAGG